AGAGCGGGAGCCCGGAGAUGGGCACUGAGAUAAGGGCCCAGGCCCUACGGGGCGCAGCAGUUGCGAAAACUCCGCAAUGCGCGAAAGCGUGACGGGGCUACCCCGAGUGCCGUCCGCUGAGGACGGCUUUUCCACGGUGUAAGGAGCCGUGGGAAUAAGGAGAGGGCAAGCCUGGUGUCAGCCGCCGCGGUAAAACCAGCUCUCCGAGUGGUGGGGACGAUUAUUGGGCUUAAAGCGUUCGUAGCCGGCUCAGCAAGUCUUCCGUUAAAUCCAGCGAUUUAAUCGUUGGGCUGCGGAAGAUACUGUUGGGCUAGGGGACGGGAGAAGCCGACGGUAUUCUCGGGGUAGGGGCGAAAUCCUAUAAUCCCGGGAGGACCACCAGUGGCGAAGGCGGUCGGCU
rnacentral:rRNA from 1 species